AACGCACCUUGCGCCCUUUGGCCAUUCCGAAGGGCAUGCCUGUUUGAGUAUCAUGAACACCUCAACUCCUCAUGGCUUGCUAUGGGUGAGCUUGGACUCUGGGGGUUUUGCUGGCCCACUUAGGUCAGCUCCUCUCAAAUGAAUCAGCUUUCCAGUGUUUGGUGGCACCAUGGGUGUGAUAACCAUCUACGCUUGUGGUUCACCACCAGGUAACCUUCUACCAGGGGGGUUUGCUGGAGCUCACAGAUGUCUUUCUCAUGAAGACAGCUUUUUGAAUGUUUGAUCUCAAAUCAGGUAGGACUACCCGCUGAACUUAA
rnacentral:misc_RNA from 1 species